GCUGUUGAUGUCACAUCUGGAAUGAUGUCACACAGGAAUGAUCUGCAGGUAACGCUGUAAGGGAGUUGCUGUUAACUGUUUAGAGGAGAAACCGGAGCCUUGGAGGAGUUGUCGACUGCUGCUCGGUUAUGCAGCCAGUGGGUGGCAAAGCCCCCUGUUCACGCCCAGGCCUGGCACCUGCAAAGGCCAGACAGCGGUGUCAACACUGCUGGCAGAUUUAAAAUCACCGUCGCAAUACUGAAGCUGGGUCAGGGAGCUGAGUCAGACAAGAGGACUCAUGCUGUCACACCCUGAGUGCCCAGUGAAGCUGGAGCUGAACCCCAGGCCAUCCUGUUUCCACUACACCGAUGCUAGCAUUCACAAGGGAAUAGAGCACCAUGACUGGCUUAGACGAAUGACAAUCCCAGCCAAUAAAACUUGACGAGGCGUCUGCUGGGAGCUGCUGGGAAGGUUUUCCUCACCCUUACAAAGGGACAUGAAGAAGAAACACCUCCUCCUCAGGCCAACAUUGUGUGAUGCCUGGAGCUGGGGCAGCAAUUUUGCAACCUCGAGGGAAAUGACUGCCACGGUGAGAAUGGCAAGGCUGAAAGAAAGAACCCAGGUUAUUGGUGACAAUGCUGAGCUUCUGGAUUCACCACCCUGGACAUGCCCUUCCCCUGAUAUUUUUGUGGCCUAUAAAGAUGAAAGCCCU
rnacentral:lncRNA from 1 species